rnacentral:tRNA from 1 species
CACCGUGUGGGGCGACCCGGCGCGCUUCUUCCACUCCUAUUGGGAGGACUACGCGGAGCAGGGCUGGUUCCUCGCCGGCGACGGCGCC